UCACAAAGGUACUUGCUCCCCACAAAUUCUGCACCUUCCUCCAUGCUUCCUGUUCCCUCUACCAAACCUCCAAGAAGUGAAGGAAAACAGAUGAGUUGCUCAAUCCAUUCGUCUACCUGACUGGGGAAUCUAAAUGAGGGUUGUGAGUCCCUAUGCCAGAAGCGAGAAGGUGGAUGUCCACAUGUCAACCAGCUGGUUUCAGCCAGCGACAGAGAAGGGCUACAGGGAUGAGGCCCCUCAAAGGCGCCCAAUGGAAGUUCAAUACACAAAGAUUAAAAAUGAGUUUUAAAAAUAAAUGAACAGAAAGUUUCC
rnacentral:lncRNA from 1 species